GCACAUUGUUAACAGCUCCUGCAGUACUUCUAUCAAUCAUAAAAGAGUGCAUACAUUGCAUAUAACCCUUCAAACUACUCAUGUCUGAAUCCUAAACACCCUUUUUCCAUAAUCCCCCAGAUGUUUAUUCCUCCCUAUAAAGUACAGAGAUACUUGUACAGUAAAGAGAGCUGUGCAUACAAUAAAAACAAGCUGGGCACAAUUUAAG